rnacentral:rRNA from 1 species
GACGAACGCUGGCGGCGUGCUUAACACAUGCAAGUCGAACGGAAGGGCCCUGCUUUUGUGGGGUGCUCGAGUGGCGAACGGGUGAGUAACACGUGAGUAACCUGCCCUUGACUUUGGGAUAACUUCAGGAAACUGGGGCUAAUACCGGAUAGGAGCUCCUGCUGCAUGGUGGUGGUUGGAAAGUUUCGGCGGUUGGGGAUGGACUCGCGGCUUAUCAGCUUGUUGGUGGGGUAGUGGCUUACCAAGGCUUUGACGGGUAGCCGGCCUGAGAGGGUGACCGGCCACAUUGGGACUGAGAUACGGCCCAGACUCCUACGGGAGGCAGCAGUGGGGAAUAUUGCACAAUGGGCGGAAGCCUGAUGCAGCAACGCCGCGUGCGGGAUGACGGCCUUCGGGUUGUAAACCGCUUUCGCCUGUGACGAAGCGUGAGUGACGGUAAUGGGUAAAGAAGCACCGGCUAACUACGUG